CCUACGGGUGGCAGCAGUGAGGAAUAUUGGUCAAUGGGCGCGAGCCUGAACCAGCCAAGUAGCGUGAAUGAUGACUGCCCUACGGUUUGUAAACUUCUUUUAUAAAGGAAUAGAGUGAUGAACUUGUGCCUUUUUGUAUGUACUUUAUGAAUAAGGAUCGGCUAACUCCGUGCCAGCAGCCGCGGUAAUACGGAGGAUCCGAUCGUUAUCCGGAUUUAUUGGGUUUAAAGGGAGCGUAGAUGGGUUGUUAAGUAAGUUGUGAAAGUUUCCGGCUCAACCGUAAAAUUGCAAUUGAUACUGGCAGCCUUGAGUACAGUUGAGGUAGGCGGAAUUCGUGGUGUAGCGGUGAAAUGCUUAGAUAUCACGAAGAACUCCGAUUGCGAAGGCAGCCUACUAAACUGCCACUGACAUUGAUGCUCGAAAGUGUGGGUAUCAAACAGGAUUAGAUACCCUAGUAGUC
rnacentral:rRNA from 1 species